UGUGUGCGAGGAAUUCAAGCAAAUUGUGAGAGGAUUUCAAAAUUGUUGCACGAGUCACUCAUGCUUGUUACAUCUUUGAAUCCUAAAAUUGGCUAUGAUAAGGCUGCAGCAGUCGCUAAGAAAGCACAUAAAGAAGGGACGACAUUGAAGGAAGCUGCACUAAAGCUGGGAGUCCUAACCUCUGAAGAGUUUGAUGAACUUGUGGUACCAGAGAAAAUGAUAGGACCAUCUGAUUGAAGUUCCUCCCAGCCAUGAUUGUUGGGUGUACAUUUUUGCACUCUUGGACUUCUCCAUUUCGCUCGUGCAACAAGUGCAGGAUUAAUAAUUCUUUAAGUACUCUUUCUUUUCUGAGGUGGAGGUAUAAUAAUUUUCUCGAUGUAUCUCCACAUUUUUCGGCUCAUACUAUUCUUGAUAUUUAUUCAGCCUUGUAACAUAAACUCUG
rnacentral:misc_RNA from 1 species